AUGCUAGGCCGGGACCCCGCCGGGUGCCGCGACCUCGGGCUGGGGGCCCCGCAUCGCCCGUGCGUCCCUGCGGCCGUGCGAGCUGCCCCGGGGACACGGAGCCGCGGGCGCCCCGCGCGGGACCCCUGCCUCCGGCCGAGGGGGCGGGAGGGGGACGUGGUGCCGUGCUUAAGAGACCAUCGUCGUCGACUCGCCCGUCCUGAGCCUGGGGGACGCGCUCGGCGCCCCGGGUCCCCGAGCGCCGCGGGAACGGGGGUCCUGGCGGCGGCGGAGGCGGCGGAGGCGGCGGCGCGUGCGUCUCAGCCCCGGCCCCGGGCGGCCUCCCGGAGCGGAUCCCCGCUCAGCGGUCGUGCAUCCCUGGCUCGGUCCCGGGGAGGGCACUCGAGGCUCCGGGCACGCGGAGCUCCGGGCGCUGCGGCCGGCGGCGAGCGACGGUGCCCUCCUCCGGGCCGGUGGCCGCCGGGGCGCGAGGUGCCCCCGAGUGCGCCUGCCCCGGCGGGAGCCCGAGGCCCGCGGCGGGCCGUGCGCCCCUCUCCGCGCGCGCCCGGCUGCUCCACAGCGCCCGGGGUGUCCACCGGGGAGCGGCGCGCCGGAGCCGGGCUGCGCGGGACCUGUCAGCCGCCGCGGCCACUGCGCUCGCAGACGCUGCCCCGCCGCCGCCGCCACACGUGGGGCGCGGAGGGCAGCAAACUUGGCGGUGACGUCAGCGGCCCGGGCAGCACCGGCUCCCGGACGGGCGCGGCGGGGCGGACCCGGCGGGAUGGAGAAAAGGUGGCGCGGACCCCGCAGCGUCGGCCCAAUGGCAUCGGAGAGGGCGGGGGCGGCCGGGGCGACGCCCCUUCCCCACUCCCCCCCCCCCCCCGCUCCGCGCACCGCCGCAGCCUCGCCCCCUUUCCGGCGCGCGGGGGGCUGCGGGGGCUCCGGGGUCGUCUGAGCGACAGCGCGGGCCGGCCGGAUCCCCGGGGGCCUGACUUCCCCCCGAGCCGCCUCUCAGCCUCGGCUCAGCCCUGA
rnacentral:lncRNA from 1 species